GGUGGCUAUGGCGGCGGGGCCCACCUCUUCCCAUCCCGAACAGAGAAGUUAAGCCCGCCUGCGCCGAUGGUACUGCCCUUACAGGUGGGAGAGUAGGUCGCUGCCG
rnacentral:rRNA from 1 species